CCCUUAGAUGUUCUGGGCGGCCCGCGCACUACAUUGGCACUGGCAACAAGAUCCUAGAUCUGGUAUUUCGGGGUAUUCUACCAACUGGUGUCGUGACUGGGAUUAACCCCUGCAAUUAUUGGUUAUGAACGAGGAAUUCCUUGUAAUCACGGUUUAUCAACCCGUGUUGAAUGCGUCCCUGCCCUUUGUACACACCGCCCGUCGCUCCUACCGAUGAAUCGUCCGGUGAAGUUCAUGGAGUCGCGGCUGCCCCAGCUGUUUUCGAAGUGAAAUGGACCUCAUGAUUUAGAGGAAGGAGAAGUCGUAACA
rnacentral:rRNA from 1 species